GACGUAGGAUGCAAGCGUUGUCCGGAUUUAUUGGGCGUAAAGAGUUCGUAGGUGGUUUGUUAAGUCUGAUGUUAAAGACUGGGGCUCAACCUCGGAAAUGCAUUGGAUACUGACAGACUCGAGUGUGGUAGAGGCAAUCGGAAUUCCAGGUGUAGCGGUGAAAUGCGUAGAUAUCAGGAGGAAUACCCGUGGCGAAGGCGGCUUCCUGGGGCACCACUGACGCUGAGAAGCGAAAGCUAGGGGAGCAAACGGG
rnacentral:rRNA from 1 species